AUACGAAGGGGGCUAGCGUUGCUAACGGAAUGACUGGGCGUAAAGGGCGUGUAGGCGGUUUACACAGUCAGAUGUGAAAUCCCCGGGCUUAACCUGGGAGCUGCAUUUGAUACGUGUAGACUAGAGUGUGAGAGAGGGUUGUGGAAUCCCCAGUGUAGAGGUGAAAUUCGUAGAUAUUGGGAAGAACACCGGUGGCGAAGGCGGCAACCUGGCUCAUGACUGACGCUGAGGCGCGAAAGCGUGGGGAGC
rnacentral:rRNA from 1 species